rnacentral:rRNA from 1 species
GACGGAGGGUGCUAGCGUUGUUCGGAAUUACUGGGCGUAAAGCGCACGUAGGCGGCACUGUAAGUUGGGGGUGAAAGCCCGGAGCUCAACUCCGGAGCUGCCUUCAAGACUGCAGAGCUGGAGGAUGCGAGAGGUGAGUGGAAUUCCGAGUGUAGAGGUGAAAUUCGUAGAUAUUCGGAAGAACACCAGUGGCGAAGGCGGCUCACUGGCGCAUUUCUGACGCUGAGGUGCGAAAGCGUGGGGAGCAAACAGG